UACGUAGGGGGGCGAGCGUUGUCCGGAUUUAUUGGGCGUAAAGAGCUCGUAGGCGGUUUGGUAAGUUGGAUGUGAAAUCUCCAGGCUCAACUUGGAGGGGUCAUUCGAUACUGCCAUGACUAGAGUUCGGUAGGGGAGUGUGGAAUUCCUGGUGGAGCGGUGAAAUGCGCAGAUAUCAGGAGGAACACCGGUGGCGAAGGCGGGUCUCUGGGCCGAUAUCGACGCUGAGGAGCGAAAGCGUGGGGAGCGAACAGG
rnacentral:rRNA from 1 species